UGCGGGGUCGUCUAACUGGUAGGACGGGAGGUUUUGGUCCUCCAAGACGAGGUUCGAGUCCUCGCCCCGCAGC
rnacentral:tRNA from 1 species